UCCCUGGUAGCUCAGACGAAAAGCGUCUGCCUGCAAUGCAGGAAACCUGGGUUUGAUCCCUGGUUCAGGAA
rnacentral:tRNA from 1 species